CCGCGGCGCAUGCGCGGUGAGGGACGGGCGGGCCAUGGGCGGGAGAGCGCGCUCGCCUCGCUGAGGCGGGCAAUGGCCGGCGGUGGUGGGCGUCGUGAAAGAGGGCCUGCUGGGUGGCCUGAGUGCUGAGCAGCCUUCUCCCUCAGCGGAUCUGCCCUGUUUGUGAGGUCCGUGGCUGCUCAGAUUUCCCUGUCUGAAGACUUCUCAGGAGAUCCUUUCCAGAUGCCUGGAAUAUGUUCUGUGCUGAGGAAGGUGUCUCUGCUCCCUCUCUCAAGCCUGCAGAUGGUGGUGUUACUACGGGAUGAAAACGUUACGGAAUAAGCUGGACUAGACUCUUGUGUUCUGCCUUACCAAAGACCCUUUAAACCGGCUAGAGAAGAAUGGAAGGGAACUCUUCCUGGAUAACAUCCUUCCAGCUAUCUUCUGAAUCAGAAGGACAUGCUGAGACCUUCUUUAUACAGAGCGAAUGGAAGCUGGAAGCCAGGGAAAAGAAGUAUCUGGAACCGAAAAGAGAAACGGAAUGAACUGAGUAUUAGAUGAGUCUCAGUGAGUGAGCCAUAUAGGCUCACUUUGUGAGGCUUUUGCUUUGUGUUAGUAAGUCUGGGUAAUGUAACAAUCAGCUCCUUUGUAAGGCUUUAUUAAUUAUUCUUCUGCCUUUUGUGGAUGUGACAGGAUUAUUUCUGGACACAAACACAGUGAGCAUAGGCGUGGCAUCACACCACGCUCUGCCUCAUUCAUCUGUACCCCUUUUUCCUGCCAAGCCUCUCAUGACUUGUUCACUUUUAUUUAAGGCUGGGGAAAAAAAAAGAAAAAAGACUUCAGAAAAAUAGCUCACAUGGAAAAGAAAAAAUCAGGUCACUCAGAUUGGUCUGCAGAUUCAGGUCAUGUUCAGUGACGAGUUUAAAUGGAAAAAAAUACAGGAGAAUCAGUAAAACGAGGAGUGUUUUUCCUAUUCCUUCGACAUAAAACCUCACUGGUUAUUUUGUUUCAAAAAUAUCAGAAAGACAUCUCGAGUCCAAAAUAUUAAACAGGGAUUAAAGAGAGAAGGAGAUAAUCCAGAAGCAAACCAAACACCGUAUUUUCACAAGUAAAACGUGCAGUUCGCUCCCCAAACAGCUUUUCGAUUCAGAGUAAUAAAAAGGGUUUUUACAUUGUUUUGAGUAAAACACUGAACCAGAAGGCAAUUAUUUGCAAUUCUACCUAAAAAUAACAACUGAAGGUUGGUUUUUAACGUGUUUCAAAGGCAGGUAGUGUGAUUCAAAUUCUUACAGUGACUUAUCUUCCCAUAUUCAUGAAUUCUGUUUUGGUACAUGAAGCAAACAGGUAUGAGCCAGUGCAGGGUGGCCCACAGGCCAUAACCAACAGAUAACUAAUUGGCGUCUGUGUUGCAAUGGGGCAAAGAUCCAGCCAAAUUAUGACAAGGCACUGUGCCAUCCUCAUAGACUCACAUUAUCACAGGUGCCAGGAUUCCAUAAAUGUGCAUUAUUUACAUUUAGUUAGGGCAAGAUUCCCAUCUGGGAAAUUCCACAUGGCUGUCCAUCUCUAUCAUAUACAAUGACAAUGGAGAAAGAGCUCUGUGACUAAUCCAGCAUCCUGAAAUAGUUUCCAGCAAGAAUUUGAGGGUUUUUUUUGACAAUUAUUUUGAAAUGCUCCCACUUGUCUAGGUAAGUAAAUCAGUUGAAAGUGUGGUUUUGUUGUCUUUGUACAAAAUUAAUAAACAAAUUGCCGCUACCA